rnacentral:lncRNA from 1 species
AACCCUAAACUAAUAACUCAAAACCCUAACUGCAGGACACACAGGCAAAACGCUUCCUCAAAGACGCGUUUUCUUACUUCGUCACUUGACAACGCGCUGACGUGGACACGCUUUCGAGGAAAUAAGGCCAUUUCAAUAAAUAAUUAUUUACCAGACCCAUUUCAAUAAAUUUUUUUUAAAAAAUAGACUUUUAUAUGUAAUUUACCAGGACAACCACUUUGCAAAAGGACUACCCAGUCAUAAAUGACUGUAGCAGGCCUCAUAAAUGAGCACACAGACCAACAAAAUAACAAGCCAAAACACAACAAAAAGUCAAUGAGAAAACAAAAGAAAUUAAAAGAAACACUCAUCUAAUUUGUAGAGACCCCGUCCCCAAACCGAAACCUAACGAUGAAAACCGGAAGCUAAAUCGUUUCCUGCAACCACAAACCCAUAAAAGAUAUGCGCAAAAAAAAAAAAAAAAAAGAAAACCACAGGAAAUUCCUCCUUGAGACACAUUUGGAGUGGAAAAUAGAAUAUUCUCCAAAGCUCAAAGAAUGCAUUCGCUGGAACUACCUCUCGGCGCUUCGUGAAACCCAUUUCUGCCCAUCUUGGUUCGCUACAAGUUCAACCUCCGUAGGAGCUUCCUCAAUCUAAAAUCGAGGUUUUGAAGGCCAAAACUCGCAUCUUGCUAGAGUAUGUGCUGCGUUAUUCGCCAAUCUUCCGACAUAGGCAAAGGUAAUAUAAUCAAACCCUCUCACCUUCCUUUUGAUAUCUUGAAUAAUCGGGCCAAACACUGAUUUGUCUGGAUUCACAUUAUGUAACUUCUUUGUGACGGUGAGCGAAUCGCCUUCCACAACGAUCGAUCGAAAACCCAACACAUUGCCAAAGGUUAUUGCCUGUUCGUAAGCUCACGCCUCCGCCGUGAAUGCAUUUGCAACAUUAUAGCGUGGGUAAGUGCAAGCUGCUAAAAUUUUCCCAUUUUCAUUCCUAGCUAUUACACUCGAUAUAGAUCUACUGGUAGUUUUAUUGAAUAAGGCAUCAUAGUUAAGUUUAAUUUGGUAUGAGAUUGGGGGGGUCCAAAACUCCUACUUUGGAACACAAGAAGAGGGGGUUAACCCCUCAAGGGCUUGUAAUUCUAGUUGGUAGCCCUUAAUGAAAACCACCAAGUCCUGUAUGCUUUGCUUAACCCCAUCAUGGAUCAACCUAUUUCACGCGUACCAGAUUGCUCAGUAAGUAAUUACAAGAGAUACCUUUUCGUUUCCAUCUAGUAAUUCAAAACCUAUCGCUAACCAUGUUUUAUAAUAACUCAUAUCGUGGUUGUGCUAUAAUAUGAUUAUAUAUAUAGAUAUAGUCCAAGGUUGGAAUCAACAUAUUAAUUGCAGCUUUCCCUAUUUUUUCCGAUUUAAAAUGAAAAUAAAGAAACUAAAAUCCAUAAUAAUAAUAAUAAUAAUAAGGAGAUUAAUUAAUAGCUUAAUAAAUGAAGGUUUUGACAUAUAAGUAGUUUGUGGUAGGUUAGGAAUGCAAGAAUAACGCGUUUCAAACACCCUUUUUCCUUUUUCGAAAGUAGUUUCUACUUUCUAGUCUUUAAUGAACAUAAAUGAAAGAUUGAUCUGAGCCAAAAGUAUAGCGGGCAGAUAAUACCUUGGCUACACUAUAAUCAACUAAAUGCGGUAUGCCCCUCUUUAUUAUUAUUAUUUUGGAAAGCAAUAUCCCCUGUUUCACAGCAUAAGAUAAAAGGAUUCUUUUUUCCUAGGUCUUCAAUCAAUGCAAAAAGAGAGAGAGAGAGAGAUUGGAUUGAAUACCUUUUCAUGCGAAUGAGCAAUCAAGCUAAUUACUUCUAAAAUUCUUAAUCACCUCUUUGCUCCACUGGCGUGCAUCUGUUUUAAAAACCCAGUUUGUGUUGUUUACUGCUUCAUCCUUAUCUAUCCUCUCCAACAGACUUCCCUAUCCUAAUUAAAUAUUAUCUUUGGGUCUGGAUUUCAUAAUGUCAUUUCAAUUCAACUCUUUUAUUAUCUUAGUUUUUAAUGCGAUCUCAUUUUAAACGUAUAUCAUUUAUGAUUGGUAGCUGGCUGGUAACUCUUUGGUCUUGGUAAAAAGUAGUUAAAUGCUAACAUGUCAUCUUAAUUUUUCUAUUUAUUUUUGGGUGAUUUAAUAGAGAAGUAAAAAUUUAAAUAGAGGACUAAAAUGAUUUAUUUUGGUGAAAGAAUGAGGGCCAACUAAAUUCAUUAAAUGGGUUGGUUGUUAAACAUUAAAAACUUAUAAUAAAUAUAUUUACAAUUUUAUUUUCGAACACGAAGUACCAUGGACAAAAGAAAAUUAAUAAAUAAAAAGCACAUCCAAACUUGAUUUAAAUACAUUAAUAAUAAAAUAGAUCGUUCAGAACUUAAGACGGACCACGACCACGACCACGAAGACAUCCAUCUACAUACUGAGCUAAUCAGAUGAAUAAUUUGUUGAAAAAUGGGUUUAAAGGUCCAUUGAACCCACAACCAAAAUAAAAACUAUUUGACAAACCCAAAUCCCCAACCUUUAUUUCGAUUACUGUAUAAAUUAUAUUUACACAAUUAAUUAAUUUAAAUUUUAAAAAUAUUAAUUACUACAAACAAAUAUCAAUAAUACUUGAAAAAUAAAUCUAUAUAAGGGUGUCUGUUUUCACUGAAAAUGUUCAUUUUGUGAAAAACAAUUUGAUUAACGAAACAUAACUUACACGUUAAUAUAAAGUAAACUCUUCCACUUUUGAAAAGGAAGUUGAAUAAACUAAUAUUGUUAUAUUCAUGAUAAUUUUGCAAAAUUUUUUUUAAAAUUAAAAUAUUGAUAUUAAAUAUUAUAAUUUUCAAUUUUAUUAAACACUCAUAUUUAAUUUUUUAUAUUUAAUAAUAAACUUUAACAUUAAUAAUAAUUUUAAAUUUAAAAAUAUUCUAAAUAUAUUAUUGACAAAUAUUUAUAUUGAUAUUUUAAUAAUAAAUAUAUAUUGUAAACGGUUCAUUUUGCCCGGAGCCCAAAACCAGAAAUUACAACUAAAUAAUUUAAAUCCAAUAUUUAUAAGGUCCAUUUACAUUUGUCUAAAAAGGUCCCAGGUAAAAUCAAACCCAAUACCCAAACAGCCCAUUUACAUUUUAAAUCUAACAAUUUUUUAUGUUUAAACUUCAUCUUUUUGUAAAUUUAUCAUCAAUAUCAUUUUGAUUUGUAAUAUAUCAUUAUUUCAAAUUUAUCAUGUAUUAUUAUUUAAACUUAUCAUAUUUUAU